AUGAAGGGGCGGUUGAGAGCUCUGAGAGGUUUUACGGCUGCUUGUGCAGAUAGCCCUACUACACCCAAGAAUCCCAUUGUGGAAUUGAUAGACAGUGAUGAUGAUGUGUUUGACAAGAUUGCUGGCAUUGGAAGAGUCACGAGGAGCGCUGCUGCCAAAGGUUUAUCUCCCCUUGUUGGAAUAGUGGCUUGUAGAGCUGGUGGUGCUAGGAAAGAUCCCGCUUUGGAUUCUGGCAAUGUUCAGCUUCACCCUUAUAAAUUCCCUCACCUGGACAAGGCUCGCGGGUUGUAUAAUCUGUUGCUUAGUAAUGAAUGGCGUGAGAAGUAUGGCGAGAAUACAUUCUCAAUGAUACCUCAGCCUGAUGGAAACGUAACUAACUUCACUGGGAAUCGCAUCUGGGAAGUUUUUUCACCUGGGCAAAUGAUGGAGGGUGAUGUAAUUGACUUCCUCAUUAAUGAUUGGAAGCAAGAUCCCGAUAAAAAUGCUGAUUUCGCAUCUGGGAAAAGGAUAUUGCUGAGUCCAUAUUUCAUCACGGUUGUGCUUGACUGUUCGUUUUAUGAGGAUGAAAAUAAAGUGUUUAAUGUGGAGAGUGCAGCGAGAGAUUUCAAUAGCUAUGUUAAAGCUAAUGAAGACUUGCUCAGUGCCGACCUUAUCAUGAUGCCUCUAUUCAAGCCUAUGGUUUUAUCAAAGGAUAGGAAAGUGAGCCACUAUUCCUUAUAUGUCAUGAAUCGGUACCGAAGUAGUGUUGACAUCCUUGACUCUUUAUGUUAUCUAAAGAACCACCGUCCUUCGAAGAACACCUAUCACAAAGACUGCGAGAAGAUUUACAAUGCGAGCAAGCAGCCCAAUUGGGAGCUGUUUGCAAAGAAACCAACGUUUGUCAAGGUUCCACUUCAAGGACCGAAUGAAUGUGGCCAUUAUACUCUGAAGUAUGCGGGAAGCUAUGAUGGUGAAAAGAUCGUUGAGAACAUUUGA
rnacentral:rRNA from 1 species